UACGGAGGAUCCAAGCGUUAUCCGGAUUUAUUGGGUUUAAAGGGUGCGUAGGCGGCCUAUUAAGUCAGGGGUGAAAGACGGUAGCCUAACUAUCGCAGUGCCUUUGAUACUGAUGGGCUUGAAUGUACUUGAGGUAGGCGGAAUGUGACAAGUAGCGGUGAAAUGCAUAGAUAUGUCACAGAACACCAAUUGCGAAGGCAGCUUACUAAAGUAUGAUUGACGCUGAGGCACGAAAGCGUGGGGAUCAAACAGG
rnacentral:rRNA from 1 species